rnacentral:rRNA from 1 species
UAUGGGGGGAGCAAGCGUUGUUCGGAUUUACUGGGCGUAAAGGGCGCGUAGGCGGUAGCACAAGUCAGUUGUGAAAUCUCCGGGCUUAACUCGGAAAGGUCAACUGAUACUGUGCGACUAGAGUGCAGAAGGGGCAACUGGAAUUCUCGGUGUAGCGGUGAAAUGCGUAGAUAUCGAGAGGAACACCUGCGGCGAAGGCGGGUUGCUGGGCUGACACUGACGCUGAGGCGCGAAAGCCAGGGGAGCGAACGGG